GGAUCAAUUGAUUGGUCAUGCCAUUGGUAUGUACUGGUCAUAUUGGUUCUCACCUUCUAAGGAACCAUAAUGUCAUUAAUUUGAUGUUUUGGGGAAUUAGGACUGUUACCUUGAAAAAAUUAGAGUGUUUAAAGCAGGCUAACGCUUGAAUACAUUAGCAUGGAAUAAUGAAAUAGGACAUCGCAUUCUAUUUUGUUGGUUUCUAGGACCGAAGUAAUGAUUAAUAGGGAUAGUUG
rnacentral:rRNA from 1 species